rnacentral:rRNA from 1 species
GACAGAGGGGGCAAGCGUUGCUCGGAAUCACUGGGCGUAAAGGGCGCGUAGGCGGGAUGGCAAGUCAGUCGUGAAAUCCCUCGGCUUAACCGGGGAACUGCAUCUGAUACUGGAUGGCUUGAGUUCGGGAGAGGGAUGUGGAAUUCCAGGUGUAGCGGUGAAAUGCGUAGAUAUCUGGAGGAACACCGGUGGCGAAGGCGGCAUCCUGGACCGACACUGACGCUGAGGAGCGAAAGCCAGGGGAGCAAACGGG